rnacentral:rRNA from 1 species
GACGAACGCUGGCGGCGUGCCUAAUACAUGCAAGUCGAGCGCAGGAAGCCGACGGAACCCUUCGGGGGGAAGUCGACGGAAUGAGCGGCGGACGGGUGAGUAACACGUAAAGAACCUGCCCUCAGGUCUGGGAUAACCACGAGAAAUCGGGGCUAAUACCGGAUGGGUCAUCGGACCGCAUGGUCCGAGGAUGAAAGGCGCUUCGGCGUCGCCUGGGGAUGGCUUUGCGGUGCAUUAGCUAGUUGGUGGGGUAAUGGCCCACCAAGGCGACGGUGCAUAGCGGACCUGAGAGGGUGAUCGGCCACACUGCGACUGAGACACGGCCCAGACUCCUACGGGAGGCAGCAGCAGGGAAUCUUCCACAAUGGACGAAAGUCUGAUGGUGCAACGCCGCGUGAACGAUGAAGGCCUUCGGGUCGUACAGUUCUGUUGUAAGGGAAGAACAAGUGCCGCAGGCAAUGGCGGCACCUUGACGGUACCUUGCGAGAAAGCCACGGCUAACUACGUGCCAGCCGCCGCCGUAACAC